UGCCUUUGUGUUGCCCAUUCAUUGCAUUUUCCAGAUGAAUGAGGUGUCAAACUAGGCAUACAGUGAACCUUGCAUAGGCUUUUCUCAAGGUACUCAACGGUGUACCUUGUAUUAAGUUACCCAGCAAGGACAACA